rnacentral:rRNA from 1 species
AUUGAACGCUGGCGGCAGGCUUAACACAUGCAAGUCGAGCGGAUGAAGGGAGCUUACUCCUGGAUUCAGCGGCGGACGGGUGAGUAAUGCCUAGGAAUCUGCCUGGUAGUGGGGGAUAACGUCCGGAAACGGGCGCUAAUACCGCAUACGUCCUGAGGGAGAAAGUGGGGGAUCUUCGGACCUCACGCUAUCAGAUGAGCCUAGGUCGGAUUAGCUAGUUGGUGGGGUAAAGGCCUACCAAGGCGACGAUCCGUAACUGGUCUGAGAGGAUGAUCAGUCACACUGGAACUGAGACACGGUCCAGACUCCUACGGGAGGCAGCAGUGGGGAAUAUUGGACAAUGGGCGAAAGCCUGAUCCAGCCAUGCCGCGUGUGUGAAGAAGGUCUUCGGAUUGUAAAGCACUUUAAGUUGGGAGGAAGGGCAGUAAGUUAAUACCUUGCUGUUUUGACGUUACCAACAGAAUAAGCACCGGCUAACUUCGUG